GGGAAGCCGGUGAGAUCCCGGCACUGUCCCGCAGCCGUGACGGCACCUCGUGCCGAAGUCGGAACGCC
rnacentral:ncRNA from 1 species